AUUGAACGCUGGCGGCAUGCCUUACACAUGCAAGUCGAACGGCAGCACGGGGGCAACCCUGGUGGCGAGUGGCGAACGGGUGAGUAACAUAUCGGAACAUACCCUAGAGUGGGGGAUAACGUAGCGAAAGUUACGCUAAUACCGCAUACGAUCUAAGGAUGAAAGUGGGGGAUCUUCGGACCUCAUGCUCAUGGAGUGGCCGAUAUCUGAUUAGCUAGUUGGUGAGGUAAAGGCUCACCAAGGCGACGAUCAGUAGCUGGUUUGAGAGAACGACCAGCCACACUGGAACUGAGACACGGUCCAGACUCCUACGGGAGGCAGCAGUGGGGAAUAUUGGACAAUGGGGGAAACCCUGAUCCAGCGAUGCCGCGUGAGUGAUGAAGGCCUUCGGGUUGUAAAGCUCUUUUAUCCGGGUACGAUAAUGACGGUACCGGAAGAAUAAGCUCCGGGCUAACCUUCGUGCCAGCAGCCGCGGUAAU
rnacentral:rRNA from 1 species